GGGCCCGUAGCUUUCUUGUAUGUUAAAUAAUACAAGGCUAAAAACCGGGGGGUCGUGCGUUCAAAUCGCACCGGGCCCA
rnacentral:tRNA from 1 species